CCAGACUCCUACGGGAGGCAGCAGUGGGGAAUAUUGCACAAUGGGGGAAACCCUGAUGCAGCGACGCCGCGUGAGCGAUGAAGUAUUUCGGUAUGUAAAGCUCUAUCAGCAGGGAAGAAGAUGACGGUACCUGACUAAGAAGCCCUGGCUAACUACGUGCCAGCAGCCGCGGUAAUACGUGGGGGGCAAGCGUUAUCCGGAUUUACUGGGUGUAAAGGGAGCGUAGACGGCGAUGCAAGCCAGAUGUGAAAGCCCGGGGCUCAACCCCGGGACUGCUCUUGGAACUGCAUGGCUGGAGUACAGGAGGGGCAGGCGGAAUUCCUAGUGUAGCGGUGAAAUGCGUAGAUAUUAGGAGGAACACCAGUGGCGAAGGCGGCCUACUGGACGGUGACUGACGCUGAGGCUCGAAAGCGUGGGGAGCAAACAGGAUUAGAUACCCCCGUAU
rnacentral:rRNA from 1 species